GACGAACGCUGGCGGCGUGCUUAACACAUGCAAGUCGAACGGUGAAGCUCCAGCUUGCUGGAGUGGAUCAGUGGCGAACGGGUGAGUAACACGUGAGCAACCUGCCCCUGACCCUGGAAUAAGCGCUGGAAACGGCGUCUAAUACUGGAUACGAGAAGGGUCCGCAUGGGCACUUUCUGGAAAGUUUUUCGGUUGGGGAUGGGCUCGCGGCCUAUCAGCUUGUUGGUGAGGUAAUGGCUCACCAAGGCGACGACGGGUAGCCGGCCUGAGAGGGCGACCGGCCACACUGGGACUGAGACACGGCCCAGACUCCUACGGGGGGCAGCAGUGGGGAAUAUUGCACAAUGGGCGAAAGCCUGAUGCAGCGACGCCGCGUGAGGGAUGACGGCCUUCGGGUUGUAAACCUCUUUCAGCAGGGAAGAAGCGAAAGUGACGGUACCUGCAGAAGAAGCACCGGCUAACUACGUG
rnacentral:rRNA from 1 species